rnacentral:rRNA from 1 species
AUUGAACGCUGGCGGCAGGCCUAACACAUGCAAGUCGAGCGGCCGUAGCAAUACGGCAGCGGCAGACGGGAGAGUAACACGUGGGAACGUACCCUUCAGUUCGGAACAACCCAGGGAAACUUGGGCUAAUACCGGAUACGUCCGUAAGGAGAAAGAUUUAUCGCUGAAGGAUCGGCCCGCGUCCGAUUAGCUAGUUGGUGAGGUAAUGGCUCACCAAGGCGACGAUCGGUAGCUGGUCUGAGAGGAUGAUCAGCCUCACUGGGACUGAGACACGGCCCAGACUCCUACGGGAGGCAGCAGUGGGGAAUAUUGGACAAUGGGCGCAAGCCUGAUCCAGCCAUGCCGCGUGGAUGAUGAAGGCCCUAGGGUUGUAAAGUCCUUUCGGCGGGGAAGAUAAUGACGGUACCCGCAGAAGAAGCCCCGGCUAACUUCGUGCCAGCCGCCGCCGUAAUAC